AUGGUCCAUAUUAGUAUAGAAUUUGGUUAUAUACUACUACUAUAUAAAUGUGUGUCUUUUUUUUUUUUGGAUUAAAAAAAAAUCUAAGAAGUCCUACUUUUAUAUUUUUUUACCACAAAACAGAAUUUUAUCGAUCAAACGGAGGACAAAUCCUCUUUAACACAAGGCAAGCCUUGGCCCAGUAGCAUUACAAAUCGUGGGAACAACCAAGAAGAAGGCUCACUGGAGCCCAAUAAACAAACACCAUAUGGGUUGACUCAGGCGAUAGACAUCAUUGUUGGCGCUCCGAUCUAUCAAGAGGUCUCGGCGGUGGACGUUGACACACGGAGGCGAACUCCAUUCAUCAUCAAUAGGUCUUGCAAUUGGCGAGGCGGUGAAGGAACACGACAUUAAUUUAAGUCUGAUUGUGUCAAGAACUGUGCGCAGGAUCGCCAAUGAAGAGACUCUUUUGUCUCGGUAUAGUCGACGAUUCCUUUCAAUCCACACAUUAUACACGGUGGCAGCUAGAGAGCUUGCAGUUGGAGGCAAUGUGGUUGGAUGAACAACUCUUCUUCCUGUGUUGAGCUGCACAAGCAGCAAUCAGAUUGGGCAAAAUGUAGAAGGCACAACGUGUUUGCGUAAAUGACCAGACGGGAGCAACAAAAAACACUUGAAGGGGAGAUGGUCGUGAAAUUCAAUGAGGGCAUAGACUAAAACAAUAUUAGAAUCAUGCAGUAUUGGCAGCUAAAAAUCAGCUGGCUGAUUAGACUAUGACUUGGUGGCUGAUCAGAUAGUCUGCUGGUUAGGGGCGGUUUUUCCAGUCUUGCUGAAACUUGAGAUGACUUAUUGCAAUACCAUGCAUGUCACGAAUGCUCCACCAACUAAGCAACUAGAAUUGGUUGGUAAAUAUUGGACCACUGAAGACAUGGCCACUUAGAUCUGCUACUAUGCCUGCCUCAAUACAUUUAACCUCAUGCUGCCAUGGUGAGAGCUAGCUAGCAACCAUUGUACAAUAGUAUAACUGAUCCUUUUCUAAAAUACGUUCGAUAGCAAUUCCAUUCUAGAUUUCAACCUAUUGUUUUCAAUUAAUUACUAAAAAGAAAAUUUACAAAUUUUUGAGUGAGCAAAACCCGUAUUCAUUAAAAUACUUGAUAGGUUUCCUGGCAUGACCAACUUGGAUUUGGCCUUCUUAGUGUACUGCCACUUCUCAAGGGGGCAGGUCACAUGUUUGGCCAAAUGACCCCAAUUCCUCCGGCCUUCAUGAUAAAUGCCCUACUAAUUAAUGGAAAGGCUUGCUUUUCCUGGAUGGCAUACAAAACUUUGACUCCCCUAUUUUUAGCAAAUUUUUUUGUUUAAUCCCUGCUUCCAAAUUUUUUUGUUUAAUCCCUUCUUCUUCUUCUUAAAAAAAAAAAAAAAGUGCUAUAUAUUGUUUGUUUUAGUGCAUAAGUUGUAUAUUUGUUAUCUUCAUAUCUAUAUAUAUACACUUCCAAAAUGCAUCAAACACUAUAUGUAUUGUAUAUAUACACAGAAAGAGCACCAAAACACAAGUAACACGUUCAAAUCUUUUCCAAGAUCAUGUCUUUACUUGGUAUUAUACACUUGUCAGAUAUAUUUUCUUCUCUAAUUCAUCUUCUUUUUUUCAGAGUCAAUAGUUAUGAGCUGCUUUAUACGCCUUCUAAUGGAGUGCAAACUGCUCCCACUACAGGAACUUUUAGUAUUUGUUUCUCUCUCAAGUAUGAGUUUUAAAUUCUCUUAGUGGACUACAGAACUUAAUUUCUGCUGGAUGGCUUCAUCAUCUCAUCAUUUUGCAAAUGUCUUUGCUUUUGUUAUAUAUAUAUAAUUGAACAAUAAUAUUUUUACUGUAUACUGUUUUAGGAUUUUACACUCGAAGGAUGACAUAGAAUUGGUUUUUGACAGAAAAACUAGCAUCCAAACGUGAUUCAUAUAUGUAUGGAGUUUAAGUGUUGAUCAGUUGUUUUUUUGGUUUCAGGUGAUGAUCAUGAAAAUUUGAGCUUGUCAAAUAGAAGUCUCAUUUAUUAGGAAAAUUGAUUUUCAUCAUCCAAUUUUUUUAUAAUACACAUCACAAAUUUUUUUAAUGACUCCACUUAAUUUCGUAUUAUCACAUGACAGUAGGGAUAAAUUGAGCUUUCCAAAUAAAAAAAUCUUACUUGUUAUGGUCCCUUUUUAAUUAAAUUGUUUUUCCCCAACAUUAAGAUUUACUCUGUAGUGUGUACCAUGUUCAAUAUCAGAAUUUUAUGCAUACUAGCUCCUAGCCAUUAGACCCCACCUUCCUCCAAACAAUUAUUAUUUUUAUUCAUAGCGCAUUUUGAAUCUAAACUAAUCUCUCUAGGGCACACAGUCCCUUUCAGUAAAUUAUUUUCUAUUCUAAUAAUUAUUAGAUGUCCAUCUUUUGAUGGUAAGUUUUUAAGGGACAUCCUUAAGUUGUUUAAAUACAUAUAUCACUAAGUUGUAAGAUUUUAAAAUUUAAAGAUAAUUAUGAAAAGAUAGAUACAUUUUGCUUUGACUUUUAUGCUAUAUAUGUAAUCCAUAUUCUCAAUUCACUUUUAUGUAUGAUCAGGUUUUACACAGAAUGUUUUGGGAUGAAGCUGUUGAGGAAGAGAGAUGUUCCAGAAGAGAAAUACUCAAAUGCCUUUCUUGGGUUUGGUUCAGAAGAGUCUCAUUUCGUAGUGGAGUUAACAUACAGUAUGUUUAAACCAAACAUUCCUGUUUUAUUAUGUAAUUCAAUCAUACAUAGCAGUAAAUUCAUUCUC